AGUGAACGCUGGCGGCGUGCUUAACACAUGCAAGUCGAACGAGAACGGGUUAUAGCUUGCUAUAAUUGUCAGCUAAGUGGCGCACGGGUGAGUAAUGGUAUAGGUAAUAUGCCUCUUACUAAGGGAUAACAAAUGGAAACGUUUGCUAAUACCUUAUACUCCUUAUUAACAGAAGUUAAUAAGGGAAAGAUUUAUUGGUAAGAGAUUAGCCUGUAUUGUAUCAGUUAGUUGGUGGGGUAAUGGCUUACCAAGACUAUGACACAUAACUGGUUUGAGAGGAUGAUCAGUCACACUGGAACUGAGACACGGUCCAGACUCCUACGGGAGGCAGCAGUGGGGAAUAUUGCACAAUGGACGAAAGUCUGAUGCAGCAACGCCGCGUGGAGGAUGACACAUUUCGGUGCGUAAACUCCUUUUAUAUGAGAAGAUAAUGACGGUAUUAUAUGAAUAAGUACCGGCUAACUCCGUGCCAGCAGCCGUC
rnacentral:rRNA from 1 species